rnacentral:tRNA from 1 species
GGGGGUAGCCCAGUGGUAGAGCACAUGCUUAACAUGCACAAGGUCCUGGGUUCAAUCCCCAGUACCUCUA